AGUGAACGCUGGCGGUAGGCCUAACACAUGCAAGUCGAACGGCAGCAGAGUAAGUGCUUGCUCUGACGGGUGGCGAGUGGCGGGCGUGUGGGGAAGACAACGUGAUCGACUGUUGCGGGGGGGUUAACGUAGGGAAACUUACUCUAAUACCGCAUACGACCUACGGUGGAAAGCAUGGGAUCUUCGCACCUUGCGCGAUUCAAUGAGCCGAUGUCGUAUUGGCUAGUUGGCGGGGGAAAGGCCCACCAAGGGGACGUUCCGUAUCGGGUCUGGGAGGAUGAUCAGCAACACUGGACCUGAGAACCGGUCCAGACUCCUCCGGGAGGAACAAGUGGGGAAUAUUGGACAAUGGGCGAAAGCCGGACCCAGCCAUACCGCGUGGGUGAAAAAGGCCUUCGGGUUGUAAAGCCCUUUUGUUGGGAAAGAAAAGCAGCAGGUUAAUACCCCGCUGUUCUGACGGUACCCAAAGAAUAAGCAACGGCUAACUUCGUG
rnacentral:rRNA from 1 species